GAAUAAACGAGAAAUAGAGGCGGAAUAGGAGAAGGAGCUAAGAUGUUUGUCGGGUUCCUGAAGAUGCGUCGACGUGUUAUCAUCCACGCAAGCUUCCCCAACCCAGCCAGUGUACCACAGGACGGGAGGAGGAAGCCAGCGGCUGCAUGCACCAUUGAACAGGACGGCAUUGUAUUCCUCCCACAGGAGUGACUACAGCGAAGCAAGCCCAGAAUAAAGUGUUGAGUGACCGUGAUGAUUCAGUACUACUAACACCAAACAAGUGAGGAAGUGUUCGGAGUGAACGUGCAAGACAUACAACAGACACCAGACUGCUGCCGCUGCUGCUACUGCCGGUGUAGCCAAAGGAACAAAAGGUCCGGAGCAAGAGGAAGAAAUGGGUGAUUCUUGGAAACGCACCAAUGAAGUUGUGAAGGUUGGCCACAAAUCUUCAUCACUGGUGUAGUGUAUUUCAUUGACCAUUUGUAGAUUGGGUGGAUAAACUUGUAGAUUUUGUAGACAGUUGUAGAUGUGUAGCUAGUGGGUAAGGUUUUUUGCAAUGCCUUAUCUACACCAGCAGAAAACAGUGAUAUGGACAACUUGUGCAUAGCAUAGUGAUAGCAGUGUACAGUGUACAUGUAUACCUCUUUUUCUUUUCAAUGGUAAAUAUUUCUAUUUAAUAUGUUCUAUUUGAUAUGUUUAAUAUGUUUUCAUGUGUUAUUUUAUAUACCUUGCAUUCUGCUAUUCCCUUUGUAAAUCCUCUGCUUUCACGUGUGAAAUGUAUACCAGUAUCCAAUUUUCACCCUUAAUUAAUUAAUGCGUCCUGUUAUAGGCUUAUUAGUUUUUCAUAUUUCCUACCAGAUGUCUCGGGUGUGUCGCCUAGUGCGUUCCCUUGUCCCGCUACGAGAGAGAGCGAUUCGGAUCACCACCAUGUCGAGCUGCCUGCCACCCUCCCUCCAUUGUCCUUCCCCUCUCACUUGAGUAUUGUGAACGUUGUAUUUAUUUUCAUCACGCCUCUGUGUUUGUAAAGGGAGAGUGUUCCAAUAAGUGAGCUCUGUUUGCAGUCACAUGUGUAUUUCAAAGGUGUUUUGCCAAGUGCUGUGCUGAGGUGUUGUGGUGUAUCUGUCUAUACGGUGUUCGAGCUAGCUUUCGCCCAUGUUUGUGACGCUACCUUCCGUACUGCAUUUAAUGUCUGUGGAUUUCCCGUUUUUACCCACUCUCCUGAUAAACCUUAAAAGCGUGGUUAUGUUGGUUCAGUGUACAUUUCCCUCGUGUAACGGAGUGGUAAGUCAACCUCCCUCCACGUACAACAGUGUCGGGAAUCAUUUCCCCCGUGUCACGGUGUCAUGGGAUAUUUUCUCUUAUAUUUGUUUGCUUGUGGGCUAAUGAUACGUGUAGUGUGGCAUACUGGUGAGUGAAGCUGCAUUGCAUAACUCUCUACUCUCCAUCGUGGAUCUGUUUCCCCAUGAUUAUUACUCUUGUAUGGGUUAUCAUUGGUGCUUGUUAGUGAAGCUAUCUUUGCUUAAUAUAUGUACUAUUUUU